rnacentral:rRNA from 1 species
GGAAGGAUCAUUACCUAGAGUUGUAGGCUUUGCCUGCUAUCUCUUACCCAUGUCUUUUGAGUACCUUCGUUUCCUCGGCGGGUCCGCCCGCCGAUUGGACAUAUUCAAACCCUUUGCAGUUGCAAUCAGCGUCUGAACAAACUUAAUAGUUACAACUUUCAACAACGGAUCUCUUGGUUCUGGCAUCGAUGAAGAACGCAGCGAAAUGCGAUAAGUAGUGUGAAUUGCAGAAUUCAGUGAAUCAUCGAAUCUUUGAACGCACAUUGCGCCCCUUGGUAUUCCAUGGGGCAUGCCUGUUCGAGCGUCAUUUGUACCUUCAAGCUUUGCUUGGUGUUGGGUGUUUGUCUCGCCUGUGCGCGCAGACUCGCCUCAAAACAAUUGGCAGCCGGCGUAUUGAUUUCGGAGCGCAGUACAUCUCGCGCUUUGCACUCAUAACGACGACGAUCCAAAAGUACAUU